GAUGAACGCUGGCGGCGUGCCUAAUACAUGCAAGUCGAGCGAACAGACGAGGAGCUUACUCCUCUGACGUUAGCGGCGGACGGGUGAGUAACACGUGGAUAACCUUCCUAUAAGACUGGGAUAACUUCGGGAAACCGGAGCUAAUACCGGAUAACAUGUUGAACCGCAUGGUUCAACAGUGAAAGACGGUCUUGCUGUCACUUAUAGAUGGAUCCGCGUCGCAUUAGCUAGUUGGUAAGGUAACGGCUUACCAAGGCAACGAUGCGUAGCCGACCUGAGAGGGUGAUCGGCCACACUGGAACUGAGACACGGUCCAGACUCCUACGGGAGGCAGCAGUAGGGAAUCUUCCGCAAUGGGCGAAAGCCUGACGGAGCAACGCCGCGUGAGUGAAGAAGGUCUUCGGAUCGUAAAACUCUGUUAUUAGGGAAGAACAAAUGUGUAAGUAACUAUGCACGUCUUGACGGUACCUAAUCAGAAAGCCACGGCUAACUACGUG
rnacentral:rRNA from 1 species